rnacentral:rRNA from 1 species
AUUGAACGCUGGCGGAAUGCUUUACACAUGCAAGUCGAACGGCAGCACGGACUUCGGUCUGGUGGCGAGUGGCGAACGGGUGAGUAAUGUAUCGGAACGUGCCCAGUCGUGGGGGAUAACGUAGUGAAAAUUACGCUAAUACCGCAUACGAUCUAUGGAUGAAAGCGGGGGAUCGCAAGACCUCGCGCGAUUGGAGCGGCCGGAAUCAGAUUAGGUAGUUGGUGGGGUAAAGGCCCACCAAGCCAACGAUCUGUAGCGGGUCUGAGAGGACGACCAGCCAAACUGGAACGGAGAACCGGCCCCACCUCCUACGGGAGGGAGCGGGGGGGAAUUUUGGAAAAGGGGGGAAAGCCUGUUCCAGCAAUUCCGGGUGCAGGAUGAAGGCCCUCGGGUUUUAAACUGGUUUUGUAAAGAAAGAAAAGGUUUCUACUAAUACUGGGAGCUCAUGACGGUACUGUAAGAUAAGCACCGGCUAACUACGUGCCAGCCGCCGCGGUAA